rnacentral:rRNA from 1 species
ACACAUGCAGUCGAGGGGUAACAUGGUCUUCGGACUGAUGACGACCGGCGCACGGGUGCGUAACGCGUAUGCAACUUUCCUUAUGCAGGAGGAUAGCCCAGGGAAACUUGGAUUAAUACUCCAUACUAUUAUUGAAUCGCAUGAUUUAAUGAUCAAAACUACGGUGGCAUAAGAUGGGCAUGCGUAGGAUUAGCUAGUAGGUAGUGUAACGGACUACCCAGGCAACGAUCCUUAGGGGUUCUGAGAGGAUUAUCCCCCACACUGGUACUGAGACACGGACCAGACUCCUACGGGAGGCAGCAGUGAGGAAUAUUGGUCAAUGGGCGCGAGCCUGAACCAGCCAUCCCGCGUGCAGGAUGACGGCCCUAUGGGUUGUAAACUGCUUUUCUACGCCAAGAAACGGUCCUACGUGUAGGGCAUUGACGGUAGCGUAGGAAUAAGCAUCGGCUAACUCCGUGCCAGCAGCCGCGGUAAUACGUGAGUGAUGCAAGGCGUUAUCCGGAUUUAUUGGGUUUAAAGGGUGCGCAGGCGGGCUUGUAAGUCAGUGGUGAAAAACUGCCGCUUAACGGUAGAGGUGCCAUUGAUACUGCGAGUCUUGAGUAUGGUUGAGGUAGGCGGAAUGUGCAGUGUAGCGGUGAAAUGCAUAGAGAUUGCACAGAACACCGAUUGCGGAGGCAGCUUACUAAGCCAAUACUGACGCUGAGGCACGAAAGCGUGGGGAGCGAACAGGAUUAGAUACCCUGGUAGUCCACGCUGUAAACGAUGUUCACUCGCUGUUUGCGAUACACAGUAAGCGGCUUAGCGAAAGCAUUAAGUGAACCACCUGGGGAGUACGAUCGCAAGGUUGAAACUCAAAGGAAUUGACGGGGGCCCGCACAAGCGGAGGAACAUGUGGUUUAAUUCGAUGAUACGCGAGGAACCUUACCUGGGCUUAAAUGUAGGCUGCAUUUCCGGGAAACCGGGAUUCCCUUCGGGGCUGCUUACAAGGUGCUGCAUGGUUGUCGUCAGCUCGUGCCGUGAGGUGUCGGGUUAAGUCCCAUAACGAGCGCAACCCUUACCGUUAGUUGCCAACAGGUGAAGCUGGGGACUCUAGCGGGACUGCCACCGUAAGGUGAGAGGAAGGUGGGGAUGACGUCAAAUCAGCACGGCCCUUAUGUCCAGGGCUACACACGUGUUACAAUGGCCGGUACAGAGGGAAGCUACCUGGCGACAGGUUGCCAAUCUUAAAAGCCGGUCUCAGUUCGGAUUGGAGUCUGCAACCCGACUCCAUGAAGUUGGAUUCGCUAGUAAUCGUAUAUCAGCAAUGAUACGGUGAAUACGUUCCCGGGCCUUGUACACACCGCCCGUCAAACCAUGGGAGCUGGGGGUGC